GUUUCAAUUCCUCAUAGGCAGGCUAUCGGCCCGUAGAUGACUCCGCCGACUUCGACGGUUUCUCCGAG
rnacentral:sRNA from 1 species